GUAAUAACCCACAACGAAAAAGCGAACCCUCCUUCGAGCCGGAUUCGAACCAGCGACCUAAGGAUCACUGCUGUUUGCACCUACAGUCCUCCGCUCUACCAACUGAGCUAUCGAAGGGGCAUGCGUAGAAAAACGGGCAGUUACACAUUUGUGGAACAGCAGCGAACAUGUUGGAUUUCUGGGCUUACACACACAUUACGCACCACCUCAUAGAGAAGACAAGUGAUGGAAGGCCUUCAUCUACAGAGGGUAGAGGAGGCACUGCCUUCAGUGACAAGACCUGGUGAUGGGAGAGAAGGGACAAAACUAAAACGGUGACUUACUGCUGCACACCAUGGAUUAAAGCCUCUCAAUCAACCAUUACUCUCUUCCAAAGACACUUGAGCUUCAUGUUAAUACUUUGUCUUUUCAACCCGGCAGAAACAAAAUCACGGCCACGUCACACUCGAUUCAUCAAACCCAGCAAGUCAAGAGAAGUAGUAACAACGAUAAAACUAGUAAUGACGUUUAUUUCUUGUUGGUUGUCGAGAAAUCAAAGCCAUUCUUUAAAAACAAAAAAAAAAAGACAAAUUAAAAGCAACAUAAGUGACUUAUUUAUCAUACAGAAUCAGUGUUUUCCCGAGUCAUUGUGCAGUGUUUGGGCCAACAGAGCAAGAAAACUGCUACAACACAAGAGGAAAAUUGUGAUUUUUAUAACAUUUUACAAUGUUUCAAACAAUCAUUUUCACCAUGCCACCUGCACUCGUACAGUUCUGCUGCUUUAAUGUGAGACUAAAGACAGUAUCAAGACAGAUGAUAUGCAGAAAAUGAAAGUGUUGUUCGCCUCACAGGACAGCGAGGGUACAAGGGUCUGACUUGCUAUUCAAAUUCAUUACAUUUCACACUCAGAUAAAAGUCUACCAUCAAAAUCCUUUUCCAAAGAAAAGAUGACACAAAUCAGCUUAACUCCUGUACACAAUGAAAACAAAAAGACUUUGUAUUGAACAAUACUGUCUUUGUAAACCAAUUGUAACACAUGAAAAAGACAUAAUUCAUAAGAUAAAUGUACAAAAUGAAGAAAAGGCAAUUUACUCUAUGAUAGUGUCAAGAAAGAUGCUAAUAAAAAUGGAAAAGUAUGACUAUAAUUCAUAUUCAAAAACAUAAUAAAGGAGUUACCGUACAGGGAGUACCAUCAUCAGAGUCAAAGGAUGAUGUGACUCCCAUGGAGUACCCAAAUAAAACCCUCAACUGGGAGCAUGUUGGUAGUAUACAUAGUACACAGAUUCUGACUCACAAACAUAACGUACACACACAUGGGUCUUGUAACAUUGUAAUAGGGGUGGGGGUCAUUUACAGACCCAACUCAGAGACUGAGCGGAGUGCUGAAUGUUUGUCAGGAGGGGUGGAGAUAACAAGAGGGGAGCUGUUGAGGUAAGAAUGAUGCUACUGGUUUCCUGCAGAGGUCAAGGAGUCACAGAUUAAAGGCCCCGUGGUGUGCAUUAUUUUUGCACACACACACUGUUGAAGAAGCUGAUCUGACAUUUAUUGAAUGAGGAUUUGUAACAACUUAGAUCACCGGUCUCUGAUUGGCUGACACGGUGGCUAGCCGACAGACUGAUGGCCCUCAGAUUUCAUCUGUGAUGAAUAAAGGAAACUUUAUUCUAUAUUAACUAUCUUUGAUGACACACAAUAAAUAGGGGACCUUUAAUAGAUGCCUGAACAGAGUCCUUGUAGUUACUGACUAGCGGUCUUCUGUGUGAUUGGGCAGAUCAGACCACGACCUCUGCGUCUGCUCUACCUCUUGUGCUCCGCACCUCCACCCACAAACGUCCAACCAUCUGCCCAAUCUGAGGGGCUUUCCUGGCUGUAAGACCAGCCCCGGGCUCUCGGUUUAUUUCUCUCAGGUUUUAAGCACAGACAGUGAAGCUUCAUUCAAACCUGGAACCAAACACAAGCUUUUUAUUCACGUCCACUGAAACCACGUGAAUCGCCAAAGGGGACAAAAUAAAA